AGGAACCGGGCCUGGGUGAACACAAGCAGGGAGCCGAGUUUGAAGCACAGAGAAGUGGUCCCCUACGCAUCCAGCUUUGAGGAGCUACAAGCGUUGGGGGGUUCCCAGCCAGACCUUCACAGUCCAGGCGGCAGAAGUUCUCUGAAUGACUCUGGUAGUCAUUGCACCAGUAACGGCUAUUGAUCUGGAAGAUUCCAUAGUCAAAGACCGUAAGAUCUCCUUGCAACUGUUUGGUUCUGUCAUCACGGCACAAAAUCAGCCGCAGAUAAGGCAUCCGAGAGUGAGUCUGUCCCUGCUGCUGUAAAAUCUCGCAAAAACAGGUUGUGGCUAAACUUGGCCCAUCAGCUAAUGACUGAUCCUUCUUAUAAACAAUAAUGUACAGUGUGUCUCCUUUGAAACAAACCCUUGUAUAAUUGAGCAAUUGCUGUCUUGUGAUAGCAGCUUUAUACCAUUUUCAGAAGUAGGAUCCUUUUCCAAAUGACACACAUAAAAAUUCAUCUAGCCAGGGGCUGGAGAGAUGGCUCAUCAGUUAAGGGCACUGGCUGUUCUUGCAGAAGAUCCAGGUUCAUGUGUCAGCACCCAUGUAGCCACUAACAGCCAGCUGUAACUUCCGUUCUAAAGAGUCUGUCACCUGUUUCUGGCCUCCAUGGGCGUUGCAUGCAUAGGCCCUGGAUGGUUGAAAACUUUAGUAAUGGCAUCAUUAGUAGCUAUUAAAGAUGCCAUUGUUAAAUAACAUCAUGUAGGGAGCGUACCAAGACAACCAGACCCAGAAACAAACAUUUCUCACACUGGCCCCUCGCUUUUACCCUUUCAUUUGUCCAAUUGGCCAGAAGAAAUCAUACGACGAGUUCCAUCAGUGUGAAAGGUAUGUGUCUUAGUCAGGGUUUCUAUUCCUGCACAAAACAUCAUGACCA
rnacentral:sRNA from 1 species